rnacentral:rRNA from 1 species
UACGUAGGGGGUGAGCGUUGUCCGGAGUUACUGGGCGUAAAGCGCACGCAGGCGGUCUGUUAAGUUUGGAGUGACAGUUGGUGGCUUAACUGCCAAAGUGCUUCGAAAACUGACAGACUUGAGGGCUUCAGAGGGACACGGAAUUCCGGGUGGAGUGGUGAAAUGCGUAGAGAUCCGGAGGAACACCAAAGGCGAAGGCAGUGUCCUGGGGAGUACCUGACGCUCAGGUGCGAAAGCCAGGGGAGCGAACGGG